rnacentral:rRNA from 1 species
AGCGAACGUUUGCGACGGGCCUAACACAUGCAAGUCGAACGGGCUAGCAAUAGUCAGUGGCGCACGGGUGCGUAACACGUGGGUAAUCAACCCUUCAGCUCGGGAUAACGCCUUGAAAGGGGCGCUAAUACCGGAUGCGACGCGAGGAGCCUCGGCGCUUCGCGGGAAAGAUUCGCAAGGAUCACUGAAGGACGAGCCUGCGGCCCAUCAGCUAGUUGGUGAGGUAAGAGCUCACCAAGGCGAAGACGGGUAGCUGGUCUGAGAGGAUGAUCAGCCACACUGGAACUGAGACACGGUCCAGACUCCUACGGGAGGCAGCAGUGGGGAAUAUUGCGCAAUGGGCGAAAGCCUGACGCAGCCACGCCGCGUGAGCGAUGAAGGCC